rnacentral:rRNA from 1 species
CGCGGCCUAUCAGCUUGUUGGUGGGGUAACGGCCUACCAAGGCAACGACGGGUAGCUGGUCUGAGAGGACGAUCAGCCACACUGGGACUGAGACACGGCCCAGACUCCUACGGGAGGCAGCAGUAGGGAAUCUUGCGCAAUGGGGGAAACCCUGACGCAGCGACGCCGCGUGCGGGAUGAAGGCCUUCGGGUCGUAAACCGCUUUCAGCAGGGACGAAAUUGACGGUACCUGCAGAAGAAGGCCCGGCCAACUACGUGCCAGCAGCCGCGGUGAUACGUAGGGGUCUAGCGUUGUCCGGAAUCAUUGGGCGUAAAGAGCUCGUAGGCGGUUCGAUUAGUCGGGUGUGAAAUCUCCACGCUCAACGUGGAGGGGCCACUCGAUACUGUCGUGACUCGAGUCCGGUAGGGGAGUUCGGAAUUCCCGGUGUAGCGGUGAAAUGCGCAGAUAUCGGGAGGAACACCAGUGGCGAAGGCGGAACUCUGGGCCGGAACUGACGCUGAGGAGCGAAAGCGUGGGGAGCGAACAGGAUUAGAUACCCUGGUAGUCCACGCCGUAAACGUUGGGCACUAGGUGUGGGACUCUAUCGACGGGUUCCGUGCCGUAGCUAACGCAUUAAGUGCCCCCGCCUGGGGAGUACGG